AACGAACGCUGGCGGCAGGCCUAAUACAUGCAAGUCGAACGGGCGUAGCAAUACGUCAGUGGCGGACGGGUGAGUAACACGUGGGAACAUGCCUUUCGGUUCGGAAUAACGCAGGGAAACUUGCGCUAAUACCGGAUGACCCGGCGACGGAAAGAUUAUCGCCGAAAGAUUGGCCCGCGUAGGAUUAGCUAGUUGGUGAGGUAACGGCCCACCAAGGCGACGAUCCUUAGCUGGUUUGAGAGAACGAUCAGCCACACUGGGACUGAGACACGGCCCAGACUCCUACGGGAGGCAGCAGUAGGGAAUCUUGGACAAUGGGGGAACCCGUGAUCCAGCCAUGCCGCGUGAGUGAUGAAGGCCUUCGGUU
rnacentral:rRNA from 1 species